rnacentral:rRNA from 1 species
ACAUACUUUAGGGCCUAAUUCAAUAUAUUUUAAUAAAUAUAAUUACUACCAAAUCCUAAAAAGGUAAAUUUUACAAAUUUAAAUUUAUAAAAAUAACCCAUUUCAUCUUUCAAAAGCUGCACCUUGAUUUGAUUUAAAAUAAAAUUUUAUUUUAAGAAAAUUACAUUUUUUGAAAAUAUUCACUAUAACAACGAUAUACAAGCAAUACUAAAAGUAAAAUAAAUUGUGGAUUAUCAAUUACAGAACAGGUUCCUCUGGUAGGUUAAAGUACCGCCAAGAUAUUUAAUUUUCAAGUACUUAACUACUACUAAUUCGGUCUUUACAUUUACAAUAUAAAUAACAGGGUAUCUAAUCCUGGUUUAUAAAUAAUAUUUUCCUAGAUCACUUAGUAAAGAAAUUACUAUUUUAUAUUAAAAUUUCACCUCUUAAUACAACCUUUUUAACUUUUUAAUAAAUUAACUACAACCACAAAAAUUAAAUAAUACCCUUUGUAUAACCGCA